rnacentral:rRNA from 1 species
CUCAGAACUCAAAGGAAGUUGACGGGGCCGCACAAGCGGUGGAGCAUGUGGUUAAAUUCGAAGCAACGCGAAGAACCUUACCAGGCCUUGACAUGCAGAGAACUUUCCAGAGAUGGAUUGGUGCCUUCGGGAACUCUGACACAGGUGCUGCAUGGCUGUCGUCAGCUCGUGUCGUGAGAUGUUGGGUUAAGUCCGUAACGAGCGCAACCCUUGUCCUUAGUUACCAGCACGUUAUGGUGGGCACUCUAAGGAGACUGCCGGUGACAAACCGGAGGAAAGUGGGGGAUGACGUCAAGUCAUCAUGGCCCUUACGGCCUGGGCUACACACGUGCUACAAUGGUCGGUACAAAGGGUUGCCAAGCCGCGAGGUGGAGCUAAUCCCAUAAAACCGAUCGUAGUCCGGAUCGCAGUCUGCAACUCGACUGCGUGAAGUCGGAAUCGCUAGUAAUCGUGAAUCAGAAUGUCACGGUGAAUACGUUCCCGGGCCUU